GGUGUGAGAAAAAGCUGGAGGCCAGGAAAGGUAAGGAAAUAAAUUCUCUCCUAUAGCUCCCAGAAAGAACACACAGCCUUGCGGACACACUGAGUUUAGGACUUCUGACCUCCAGAACUGUAAAAGAAUAAAUUUGUGUCAUUUUAGACUGCUGCAUUUGUGAUAAUUUGUUACAAGAGCCAUAGAGAAGUAAUACAGACAAGAGUUUUAUGCUCUGUGGGAUAUUCGACUCAGAGGUCUGGUAAGCAAUUGGACAGAUCUGUCUGAUGCUCAGCAGAGAGGGGAAGACCGGGGCAUUGAGAAUGGAGAAGCACCAACAUUGAACUGGUGCUGGAAGCAAGGUGCCUGGCAGAGAAUCCAUGGAUGGGAGUGAAGAGAAGAGUUCCCCAAAUAGAAUGUAGGGCAACCCUAACCUUUAGGGAUGGAUAACAACAAAGAAAACUGAGUAAAUCAUCCAUAUCUGAGUUCAUUAGAAUGAAGAAUUAAAAUACUUUUCCAGCUUGUCACCAGGGACUCACUAACAAGCCACAAUAACCCAGUUUUCUAGCCCUGCUUACAAGUGCUGAUUGCCACCAGAGACUAAGGUCAAAUGCCAGAAGCCACAAACUCCAAACAAGCCUCCAUGACCCAAUUUUUGACUGGUUUGAUCCAGUUCAGACUCUGUGCUAACCCUCCAGAUGACCGUGGGAUUAUUACCACCUGCAGUAAAACCUUAGAUGGCGAGUAACUUGUUCUGUGAGUGUUCCACAACAUGAGCAAACAUUUCUAAUAAAUUUUAACUUGAUAAACGA